rnacentral:tRNA from 1 species
UAUAAGUUAGUGUAUUUUGCACAUUAAUUUUUGAAAUUUUUAGAAUAAUAUUAAUUAUACUUAUAU